rnacentral:piRNA from 1 species
UGACUACUUGUGCUCUG